UUCUGGUUGAUCCUGCCAGAGGUUACUGCUAUCGGUGUUCGCCUAAGCCAUGCGAGUCAUAUGUUCUUCGUGAACAUGGCGUACUGCUCAGUAACACGUGGAUAACCUGCCCUUGGGUCCGGCAUAACCCCGGGAAACUGGGGAUAAUUCCGGAUAACGCACAUAUGCUGGAAUGCUUUAUGCGUAAAAUGGAUUCGUCUGCCCAAGGAUGGGUCUGCGGCCUAUCAGGUAGUAGUGGGUGUAAUGUACCUACUAGCCAACAACGGGUACGGGUUGUGAGAGCAAGAGCCCGGAGAUGGAUUCUGAGACAUGAAUCCAGGCCCUACGGGGCGCAGCAGGCGCGAAAACUUUACAAUGCGGGAAACCGUGAUAAGGGGACACCGAGUGCCAGCAUCAUAUGCUGGCUGUCCGGGUGUGUAAAAUACACCCGUUAGCAAGGGCCGGGCAAGACCGGUGCCAGCCGCCGCGGUAACACCGGCGGCCCGAGUGGUGAUCGUGAUUAUUGGGUCUAAAGGGUCCGUAGCCGGUUUGGUCAGUCCUCCGGGAAAUCUGAUGGCUCAACCAUUAGGCUUUCGGGGGAUACUGCCAGGCUUGGAACCGGGAGAGGUAAGAGGUACUACAGGGGUAGGAGUGAAAUCUUGUAAUCCCUGUGGGACCACCUGUGGCGAAGGCGUCUUACCAGAACGGGUUCGACGGUGAGGGGCGAAAGCUGGGGGCACGAACCGGAUUAGAUACCCGGGUAGUCCCAGCCGUAAACGAUGCUCGCUAGGUGUCAGGCAUGGCGCGACCGUGUCUGGUGCCGCAGGGAAGCCGUGAAGCGAGCCACCUGGGAAGUACGGCCGCAAGGCUGAAACUUAAAGGAAUUGGCGGGA
rnacentral:rRNA from 1 species